rnacentral:miRNA from 1 species
CAAAAAAAGAUUCUCUCUCUCUCUCUCUCUCUCUCUCUCUCUCUCUCUCUCUCUCUUUCUCCCCUUAAAAAAAUUUAAAAAACAUUGGGUCAACAAGAGGCAGGAGGGUAACAGAAUCUUUAUCCUCUUCUGGAUCAUUCAACAAAGAGAGAGAGAGAGAGAGAGAGAGAGAGAGAGAGAGAGAGAGAGAGAGAGAGAGAGAGAAGUGUG